CAUAAAUAGUCUGACAUUCAACACAACCUUGUCGACUACGUCAUCGCUAUAAAGCGGCAAGGAAAACCGUGGCCGACCGAUGCCGCCGCCGAUAUCUCUGUCUCUGUUGUCUACACUUGCAUGUCUUGCUUGGAAAAAUAUGUCUGUGUUCUCCGGUCAGUGUUUCGUGAAAUUUCCGUCGACGCAGUUUUGUUGAGUUGAGGUGAAACGGUGAAAUCGCGCCUAGCUUACUUGGAUUAUAAUAAAAACGUUAUAGUUUAGAUUUGUAAUACUUUUAGAUUUAACGUGAUAGAAUAGAAACAAGAAUGAAGAUAAUUGUAGGACAUUUACUAUAUUUUUUCGCAGUAAUAGGAUUAGGAAGCACAUAUUCAAAGUAUGGUAGAACAUGUAAAGAUAUAGGAUGUACUAGUAGCGAAGUGUGCGUAAUGGCAGAGGAUCCCUGCAGCUAUUAUAACAGGGGAAACGAUUGUGGAUCGUAAGUAAUUAACCUGAUCUCCUCA